rnacentral:rRNA from 1 species
GUACACAAAAAUGCACAUAUUGUGAGCUCGAUGAGUAGGGCGGGACACGUGGUAUCCUGUCUGAAUAUGGGGGGACCAUCCUCCAAGGCUAAAUACUCCUGACUGACCGAUAGUGAACCAGUACCGUGAGGGAAAGGCGAAAAGAACCCCGGCGAGGGGAGUGAAAAAGAACCUGAAACCGUGUACGUACAAGCAGUGGGAGCCUCUUAAUGGGGUGACUGCGUACCUUUUGUAUAAUGGGUCAGCGACUUAUAUUCUGUAGCAAGGUUAACCGAAUAGGGGAGCCGAAGGGAAACCGAGUCUUAACUGGGCGUUAAGUUGCAGGGUAUAGACCCGAAACCCGGUGAUCUAGCCAUGGGCAGGUUGAAGGUUGGGUAACACUAACUGGAGGACCGAACCGACUAAUGUUGAAAAAUUAGCGGAUGACUUGUGGCUGGGGGUGAAAGGCCAAUCAAACCGGGAGAUAGCUGGUUCUCCCCGAAAGCUAUUUAGGUAGCGCCUCGUGAAUUCAUCUCCGGGGGUAGAGCACUGUUUCGGCAAGGGGGUCAUCCCGACUUACCAACCCGAUGCAAACUGCGAAUACCGGAGAAUGUUAUCACGGGAGACACACGGCGGGUGCUAACGUCCGUCGUGAAGAGGGAAACAACCCAGACCGCCAGCUAAGGUCCCAAAGUCAUGGUUAAGUGGGAAACGAUGUGGGAAGGCCCAGACAGCCAGGAUGUUGGCUUAGAAGCAGCCAUCAUUUAAAGAAAGCGUAAUAGCUCACUGGUCGAGUCGGCCUGCGCGGAAGAUGUAACGGGGCUAAACCAUGCACCGAAGCUGCGGCAGCGACGCUUAUGCGUUGUUGGGUAGGGGAGCGUUCUGUAAGCCUGUGAAGGUGUGCUGUGAGGCAUGCUGGAGGUAUCAGAAGUGCGAAUGCUGACAUAAGUAACGAUAAAGCGGGUGAAAAGCCCGCUCGCCGGAAGACCAAGGGUUCCUGUCCAACGUUAAUCGGGGCAGGGUGAGUCGACCCCUAAGGCGAGGCCGAAAGGCGUAGUCGAUGGGAAACAGGUUAAUAUUCCUGUACUUGGUGUUACUGCGAAGGGGGGACGGAGAAGGCUAUGUUGGCCGGGCGACGGUUGUCCCGGUUUAAGCGUGUAGGCUGGUUUUCCAGGCAAAUCCGGAAAACCAAGGCUGAGGCGUGAUGACGAGGCACUACGGUGCUGAAGCGACAAAUGCCCUGCUUCCAGGAAAAGCCUCUAAGCAUCAGGUAACAUCAAAUCGUACCCCAAACCGACACAGGUGGUCAGGUAGAGAAUACCAAGGCGCUUGAGAGAACUCGGGUGAAGGAACUAGGCAAAAUGGUGCCGUAACUUCGGGAGAAGGCACGCUGAUAUGUAGGUGAAGCGACUUGCUCGUGGAGCUGAAAUCAGUCGAAGAUACCAGCUGGCUGCAACUGUUUAUUAAAAACACAGCACUGUGCAAACACGAAAGUGGACGUAUACGGUGUGACGCCUGCCCGGUGCCGGAAG